rnacentral:lncRNA from 1 species
GGGAUUACGGGAGUGAGCCACCACACCAGAACUGAUCUUUCUAACACAGGGAAAUUGUAUUCUUUAGAAGUGGAGGAAUAUUUCCUAGUAAUUUGAUCAAGUAAAAAUAAUUAUAAUAAAGAAGGUAAAAUCAAGCCCUAAUUCCCCAUGUAGGGGAAUAAUAUCAUUUUGGUAAGAUUCUUCCAGACAGUAUGAUUAGGAUGUUACAUAAAUCAAACUGUGCUAUAUACAGUAUGCAGAGAAGGAAAUUCCUUAGCUUGUCUAAAGUCUGAUAGUGUGAAGAAUUUGCUGACCUGCUCUCCAUGCCUGUCUGAGCACGAGUGAAGUGAAUCAGAGAGAGAUUGCAAGAUGGAGAAAGGAGGUACAGUUGGAGAGAGUGGAGGGGGCAGGAAAGACCAGACAGAGCUGCAUCUCCCAUGAAAACAACUGUGUACAUAAGAUAGAGUGAGUACAUAGAGUACAUAGAAGAGUGAGCUCUGAAAGAACUCUCACAUGGACCCCAGAAAGAGGAGUACUCAACGCCUGCUGCACAGAAGGCAUCAGCAGUUAAGUACUGGCUAGAAAAGCGGAGUCCAUCAAAGGAGAGGACCACAGUGGUAGCUGCCUGCUAAAGCUCUCAGCGUGAAUCAUGUUCCAUCAAUGAAACACACACACAUGUGCAAUAUGGAAGAUGAGUGAAAUCCAGGCUAUCUUCCUGAAGCUACUGUUCCUGGCAAGUGUAGCUGUGGGGACUGAGUUUUGGGCAGCAGCAAAUAACUCCCAGCUUCCAUGUGCUUGAGAGUCAGUUGCCGGGAUGCCAGCAGCUGCAUCCUCAGUCUAAGAUUGCAGCCAAUGAUGAUGUUUUCAUGAAUCCACCGUUCACGUGGCAGCCUCCUGGAGCUCAGACUGAUGCCUGCUCCUCCAGCCUUCCAAUACCUUUGCAAACACCUGAAUUCCACAUUAAUCUCUCUCUGUUUAGAAUACCCAGAGUGGCUUGUGUUUCCUGGGCUGAACCCUGCCUGGAGAGCUGUCCCUGCAAGCUGAACUAACAGAAGAUGAAGAAUGAGGUCUCCCUGAAAUGCCCACCAUAAGACUGCCAGAUAUGGGACUGCUGGAUGACACUCUGGCUACCCCACUGAGUUUUAUGAAAACAUAACAGAAUAAAGACACUUACUUGUCAACUCAGUUACAAGCUAUUGAGGCACUCCAGAGUGACGGCAUGUGAUCCCCCUGACACAAGAAACAGGCCCAGAUAACACACCGUUCAGACCGACAGCAGUUCUGGUUAUGCUGCAGUACAUCAGACGAGUGCUCUUAUCCAUCCACAGUUCUUAUCACAGUUACUUAUGCAUAUAUUCAUUUUUUAUAUAAAAGAAUCUUGAAUCGGUCACUUAAAUAUUGAAUCUCAAUAAUAAAAAAUACUAAAAGUAUA